GAAGGGAUGGAUCAACGCCUCCAGCUGCAAGGAAAAUAAAGAAAUUGAUGAAAAUCAGUAGAAAAAAGGAAGCACGAUCACAAUGAACAGCAUAUAAUGAAGUCUAAUGGAGACCUCACAGCUCAUCAGACCAUCCUACUAGAAACAUCAAAUCUCAAUUACGACUAUCAGGCUUAAGAUAGGAUUCACAUAUGUCUCACAAAAUUACACAUCAGAGAUGGGAUCUCUGUAGGAUAAAUCACAAUUAAGGUCUAACAAGCCUUAAAUAUUACUGAUGAAAAGCAGUGAUAGAAGUACUUGAAGAACUAAACAGUAAUCACAGGCAUGACAGACACAGAUGAGCAUCCAUCUACAACAUACAGUGUUGAGAGAAAUAUUAGCUUAAAUGAAGGUAGGAAGCUUUCAACAGAUAAUUCAAGCUUGGGCAACUAUGAAGGAAAUUUUGUCUUACAGCUGUACUUCGAAGAUUUGGAGA
rnacentral:misc_RNA from 1 species